UACGUAGGGUGCGAGCGUUGUCCGGAAUUACUGGGCGUAAAGAGCUCGUAGGUGGUUUGUCGCGUUGUUCGUGAAAACCGGGGGCUUAACUCUCGGCGUGCGGGCGAUACGGGCAGACUGGAGUACUGCAGGGGAGACUGGAAUUCCUGGUGUAGCGGUGGAAUGCGCAGAUAUCAGGAGAACACCAGUGGCGAAGGCAGGCUCGCUG
rnacentral:rRNA from 1 species